rnacentral:rRNA from 1 species
GUCCCUACGGGGGGCAGCAGUGGGGAAUAUUGCACAAUGGGCGAAAGCCUGAUGCAGCAACGCCGCGUGAAGGAAGAAGGGUUUCGGCUCGUAAACUUCUAUUAACAGGGACGAAAGAAAUGACGGUACCUGAAUAAGAAGCCCCGGCUAACUACGUGCCAGCAGCCGCGGUAAUACGUAGGGGGGCAGCGUUAUUCGGAAUUACUGGGUGUAAAGGGUGAGUAGGCGGCAGGGUAAG